rnacentral:rRNA from 1 species
UACGUAGGGUGCAAGCGUUGUCCGGAAUUAUUGGGCGUAAAGAGCUCGUAGGCGGUCUGUCGCGUCGGCUGUGAAAUCCCGAGGCUCAACCUCGGGUCUGCAGUCGAUACGGGCAAACUGGAGUGUUGCAGGGGAGACUGGAAUUCCUGGUGUAGCGGUGGAAUGCGCAGAUAUCAGGAGGAACACCGGUGGCGAAGGCGGGUCUCUGGGCAGUAACUGACGCUGAGGAGCGAAAGCGUGGGGGAGCAAACAGG